GUGGGGAAUUUUGGACAAUGGGGGCAACCCUGAUCCAGCCAUGCCGCGUGAGUGAAGAAGGCCUUCGGGUUGUAAAGCUCUUUCGGUGGGGAAAAACGAUCCCGGACGAACACUCCGGGUGAGGGAUGGUACCCGCAGAAGAAGCACCGGCUAACUACGUGCCAGCAGCCGCGGUAAUACGUAGGGUGCGAGCGUUAAUCGGAAUUACUGGGCGUAAAGCGUGCGCAGGCGGUCAUUUAAGUCUGCUGUGAAAGCCCCGGGCUCAACCUGGGAAUUGCGGUGGAAACUGGAUGGCUGGAGUGUGGCAGAGGGGGGUGGAAUUCCACGUGUAGCAGUGAAAUGCGUAGAGAUGUGGAGGAACACCGAUGGCGAAGGCAGCCCCCUGGGCUGACACUGACGCUCAGGCACGAAAGCGUGGGGAGCAAACAGGAUUAGAAACCCCAGUAGUCC
rnacentral:rRNA from 1 species